rnacentral:tRNA from 1 species
GCAUUGGUGGUUCAGUGGUAAAAUUCUCACUUUAUAUGCAGAGAGACUCAGCUUCCAUUCCUGGCCAGUGCA